rnacentral:rRNA from 1 species
CCUACGGGCGGCAGCAGUGGGGAAUAUUGCACAAUGGGGGAAACCCUGAUGCAGCAACGCCGCGUGAGUGAAGAAGGUUUUCGGAUUGUAAAGCUCUUUUAGUAGAGAAGAGAAUGAACGUAACCUGCGGAUAAAGCCACGGCUAACUACGUCCCAGCAGCCGCGGUAAUACGGAGGUGGCAAGCGUUGUUCGGAAUAACUGGGCUGAAAGGCUGCGUAGGCGGUUAAACAAGUCAGAUGUGAAAUAUAUAGGCUUAACCUGUGAAAGGCAUAUAAAACUGUUAGACUAGGGUGCAGGAGAGGUAAGUGGAAUUCCUGGUGUAGCGGUGAAAUGCGUAGAGAUCAGGAAGAACACUAGUGGCGAAGGCGACUUACUAGACUAUAACUGACGCUGAGGCAUGAGAGCGUGGGGAGCAAACAGGAUUAGAUACCCGAGUAGUC